CUUGCUUUAACUAAACUUUGAUUUUCAGAGCUUCAGUUGCGAUUGCGAGCAAUGCAAUCUUAGAGUCACUUUGUUUCGAAAAAUGUUGCAUUUUUUGUAUGCAAUCGUAUAGAUUGCUUUAAAAGUAAUUCAAUCGUAAUAUUUAAAAUCAAUGCAAGAAUUUGUUAAAAUAUUCUUGUUAAAAAAACAAUUUGUUCGGUACUCGAUUAGAAUCAUUAACACACUUUCGACCAAUUCGGUAGAAGAGGAUUUGCGUUUCGAUUAAAAUAUUGUCAUGGUCGAAAGUGUGAAUUAACAUCUUUACUUCUUCUGGAUCAUCUUUAUCGACGAACCUGGGGCUUCGUCUGGAUAAAUCAACGAUUACUCAUCAAUUCAACGAUUCAUCGAUUCAACAAUUCAACAAUUCAUCAAAUUUAAAUCAACUUCACAUCUUUAUUUCUUCUGGAUCAUCUUUAUCGACGAAUCUGGGGCUUCGUCUGGAUAAAUCAACGAUUAAUCAUCGAUUCAUCGAUUCAACGAUUCA
rnacentral:lncRNA from 1 species